rnacentral:rRNA from 1 species
UACGAAGGGGGCUAGCGUUGUUCGGAAUUACUGGGCGUAAAGCGUGCGCAGGCGGUUUGCUAAGACCGAUGUGAAACCCCCGGGCUUAACCUGGGAACUGCAUUGGUGACUGGCAGGCUAGAGUAUGGCAGAGGGGGGUAGAAUUCCACGUGUAGCAGUGAAAUGCGUAGAGAUGUGGAGGAAUACCGAUGGCGAAGGCAGCCCCCUGGGCCAAUACUGACGCUCAUGCACGAAAGCGUGGGGAGCAAACAGG